rnacentral:misc_RNA from 1 species
AACCCUCUCUGUUCUCAGGCCAAAUUUUGCCAAAAUUGAAAAAGAGAAAAUUCUCCAUUUUAAAAAUAAGUUUUUCUGAUGCAUAAUUAUACACUGAAAUUUAAAAGAUUUGUGUUUACUUUUUUUCAGUGGAAAGUUAGAAAUUAUGUUGCAUUUUACUGAUGUUUGGCAUUACUUAGGAUUCUAAUUAUUCUGAUUAUAAAGUGUCUGAAGGUUUGAAGCAUCAUUCUGAGGAUAAUAAUGCAUCAAAUAAGAAUCCUAGCUACUUUUCAAGACUCUUGACUGGCAAUGUGAUUACUUCUAAAUGUUCCAGCAAUAUUAAAUCAAUUGCAGGAGGAGCAAAACAAAUUGGACACGAAGACAUUCAAACUUAUUAUCAAAAUAGCAGCACUGCUGAACUACCAUCAUCCAUCACUGAAACCAGCCAAGUAGUUACGUACACUACCACAUUAAAAUAAUUAUUUUUAUCAUAAUUUUAGCUUAUUUUGAAUACUCUUAGAAAAUAUAAUGGCCAAGAUAAUAUUCUUAUUCAAGGGAAAUGGUUGGAUGAAACGGAGUACCUUUUACAAAAUAAGGUUCUCACAAUUGGUGUGUUUGGACGUCACAAAGCUGGAAAGAGUACAUUAUUGAAUGCACUCCUUCAUCAUGAAGUUUUGUCAGUAGCUGAUACAAAUGAAACAGCAUUUAUUUUAAGAAUUCAUCAUAAGCCUAGCAAUCAUCAUAGAAGCAGUUGUUUUGAAGAUGCUGAACAAUUGUUAUCAAUAAAAAAAGAAAAAAUUAAAGGGCAACGAAGCGUUCGAAACACAAUUCACAAAAGGAACACUGAUGUCUGAUA